GGAUGGGCCUCAAUUCUGGCUCCUGAGGAGUAGAGGACGUUGCAGAGGAGUGGGCCGGUCCAAAUCUUGAAAUGAGGCCCAUGAAGGAUUGGGCCCGUCGCUAGCCUGACCAAACCGCCGCCGUUGAUGUGCUGCGGCGCGGGCGCCAUCGUCGUCGUCGUCCACGGUGCGCCGCCACCCCAAGCAAAGCAGUGGCGGUGGCGGCGGCGCGGUGCCGAGCGCGGCCGGCGCCUCGGCGGGUGGGGGCGGGCGCCGCUACCGGCGGUACGGCGCACGUCGGCGGGCGAGAAAGCGCCGCUGGAGUGCUGCUACUUACUUGGCUGCGGCAUGGCGGCGGGACCUUCGCUCCGUCGCGGCGGCCGGCGGUUAGCCGCUCGGCUAAUCCAAAUCCGGCCGGGCAAAGCGAGCACAUUCUCCACUGCCUUAGGAGCAAAUUUCUUCACUGCGUCCCCGACAGUCAGGAAUAUCUUGUCUUCACCGAUGAGAUCCGUGAAUUUCGCUGAUCGGAGCUUCAGGAUCACAGCUGGCCCCGGAUUGGCUAGAAUCAGCUGAGGAAUGCCAGGAAGGAUGCUCCGAUCAAUAUCGUCUGCCAGUUCCACUGCAGCAGCAACCAAGCUAGCAUCAGUUGUACCCAAUACUGGUUUCCAUCAAAGAAUGAUGAAGAAGCAAUAAGUUCUUAAAGGAAUGAUAUUAUUUUGUCCUACCCCAUGGUGAACAUUUCCCCAGACUGAUUUCAUGACCGAGAUGAUGUCAGUCUUCUUGGUGAAGUUUGCAAUUCCAAGGAAGCCUUUAAGCUGCUGAAGGGCAAUGGUGAUGGCCGCUCCCGCCAUGAAUCCAACGAUGGCAGCAUGGGACAAGAACUCUAUGAUAAACCCUAGCCUGCAGCAGAGUACAAUCUCACUCUAUGGUAGCCACUCACCUGAGGAAUCCGAGCGCUGCCUGGGUGACCCCAGCGAAGAACGUUGCAGUGAAGGCCAGCCGGGUGUACUCUUCCUGAUUCUUCUUGGGAUCAAACUCAUUCUGGAGGAGAGUGCCAAGCAGCAGCGAAACGACGGCCACUGGACCAAUGGCUAUAUCCCUGGAACUUCCCAUCAUCGCGUAUAUCAAAGGCGGUACGAAGCUGCUGUCUGAAAAAUCAGCAGAUUUCCGUUAGACCACUGGCUGGACUAUCACUCGAGCACACCCUAUACAAAUACUAGAGCUGUGCUAUUCAGGUCGCUGCUGUGCGUGCAAGAUGGUGUUUGAUCGUCAGGCACAAACCUGGGGUAUGCAGAGGCUGGCAAUGGUGAGGCCGGAGACGAGGUCGCCCCUGAACUUGCGGAAGGUGUAGUGCCGGCCCCAGUCCAGCACCGGGAAGAAGUUUUGCAGGCUGAUCAACACCUUCUUUGACAUCGGCUGGUCCUUGUACUGCCGCAACGGGUCGUCGGCGAAGAACGUCUCCUUCACGGCGUCGGUGAACUCGUCGAUGAGCUUCUUCUUCGGUGGGAACUCGACCUUGUGGCCGUGAUGAUGAUGAUGAUGGCCGCCGUCCAUGUGGCUGUGCGAUGACGUCCGGCUGGCGAUGUCGGCGUCGAUGGCCUCGCCCCCGUCGGACACGGCUCGCGGCAUUGCCGGCGUUAUUCACCGGCAAGGUGCUGAAGGCGAACCUAUCUGCACAUGAAGCGCAGUACUGAAGCAGGUAAGCACAAACACAUCAACCUUAUUACGAUGAACUAAUUAUUUACAGAUAAAUUCAGUCUUGAUCCAUUAAUUCAAUCCAGCAGUACUGCCAAAGCACCUGCAUGCAUCAACGCAUGCAUGGUCGACAGUGAAGAAAAAAAAAACUUUUGCAGUACGGAGAACCAAAAUAUCUGAAACAUUUGCAUUUACAACGCAGGGAAGAAAUCUAUAUGUAUGUACUAGUACUACUAACAAGAAGCAGCAAAAAUAUUAUAUUCAUCUGUUAGUUUCUGAUAAAACAGACAGCAUUGAGCAUAAAAAAGCAAUGAACACAAGAAAGAAACCUCUCUUUUCGAAAAAAGAAGAAAGAAACAAAACCUACACAACGAAAGCCUAGAAGUCGCACUCAGCCCACAGCCCACAGUCGAAGGCCUGCCUUGUUAAUUUCACUGUCCAGAAGCUACCGGAAGUCCAUUAUAUAUGCGCAGAGGAUCUCAAGCUACGAUCAAGGUCAAACCUCUAUUUUUCAAUAAGGUUUAAGAUAAGCUUGUAGUUGUGAAUCUGAGCCGAAAAAUGCUCUAGAUUCAACAACAUCUCAGGAAACCCCUACCUAAUGUAAUACCUUAUUCCCACAGCUCAUCAUUUGCUGAACGUACGCCAUGUACUUGCAAAUUCCAACUAAAUCAUGUCGCAUGCAUAACAACCGUUGAAAAAUUGGCAGAUUAAAAAAGCAAUAAAUAAUGCUAGGAAAUAUUUUUUUUCCUUGCUCGGCUGUAUACGUGUAUGUGUUGUAAAAAAAUGUAGGGAAAAUUUAUAAUAGUGGGCUUAAAUAAUGAUUUUAAUGUAAGUAGUAUAACUUAUAGUUUGUGUAAAUACUUCGUCAAAUUUCAGCACCAUUAUGAAUGCAUGUUGCCAGUUUUCUGACCAAGAACAUCAUUGAUUGGUUCAGCAGCCAUCAGCAUAAAAUUUUGUGUUUCAAUCACCCUCCCUGACUAGUCAUUUGCCCCCCGCCCUCCCUUUUUUUUUUUCUUUUCACCGCAGAGUCAUUUGCUUUUAGAUUGCAUUUUUCAACAGAGCUCUUUCUCAUGGUUAUUAUGUUAGUACUCAAACUUAUUGUCUGAGAGUUUAUUUAUAGAAAGAUAUAUCUGAUCUGGAGUGUAGUGCAUAAAUGAAAUAUCAGAAAGCAUAAGAGUUUUAGCAAAAAAAAAAAAAAUUGUAAGAAAGCCAUGCAUUGGAUUGGGUUACCAACCCUAAAUAUAUUUUUAACAGUAAGAAACUGAUUCUUGACAUCCUAUUCCAACAUUGGGACCAAAAGAAGGCUCAUUGCACCAUAUAUGAACUAAGUUCACGAAAUUAUUUCAUCAAUUCAUCAGAGAAAGGAGGAGAAUCCACUUUAUACCCCUGUAUGGAGAUUGGGAGGAAGAGAACCACACUGCUAACAAUGACCUGCCUCAUUGAGUUAACAUUCCAAACUACGGACAGGGGGAUAAGACUUGAAUUCUAACAUUGAAAAUGAAUUUAUGUUGAUGCCAUAAAGUCUGGGAGAUUCAGAAGUCCAUUGGACAAUUUGCAAAAGCAUUUCUGGGAGGUUGUAGCCUUUCAGGCACUUUCCAUGGUUCACAUUAACUUGGCAAAAUCAGAUCUUAAUUAAUUGCCAUUUUAUUCCGCAGUAAUCUUUCUAAGCUUGUAUACCGGCAUAUAUAUGUAGUCAUCUUCGGCUAGUUGAUCAAGAGAGUACUACAAAUUUACAAAUUUUCUGACGGCAUGCUGUCACGUUCAGAAUGUCCAAAUUCUGUAGUACCAUGGAUUCCUCUAAAAACUCCAAAGUUUUGAGAUGAAAUGCCUCUAAAGUUUUAGCAUCACGAGAAAAGGACGUGUACAUUUUCAUAUAGGCAAAUUACCAUAAAACAUACCUUCCCUUACUGACAAUGACAAUCGUUGACAGAUGAAAACCAAUUGCUUGAAAUUAAUAGAUAACAACAACACAUAACCCCAGCCUAAAAACAACUGACCAAGUUUAACUCGUUAAGGACGUCCACAGAUUUCAUAAGAUCAUAAAUGGUAUUUCCUCCGUUUCCUAAAAAGAAUCAACUUGCUAUGAAACUGGACAAACCCAUAUCAGGUUCAAUAAGAGCAAGGAUAAUAGUAUAGCUCACUUCCUACUAUUAGCUCAUCUUAAAAUCAACAUAUAUAAUAGAUUAGCUAUAAGGUUGGCUAUAAUUUUAUUUUCUUCUCUCUAUCUCUCACUUAUACAUGUAAUGUAUUUGUCUUAAAGUUUGUGAUAAGCUAACUCUUGCAUGAGAGCCAACACCCUUGAUUUUUCACUAUCUCUCUCCUCCACCUAAGAUUAUAGUAAGUUUAUAGCUCACUAUUAUACUUGCUCUAAUGGGAAGCAUGCCAUGCAUAUGUAGUUGUUAACUCUAAUUCUGAACAUUAUCCGCAGAAGUGCAAGCUCAUACUCCAUACGGUCGACUAAUUAAAUAACUAUAUGGAAGUACUAGUUUUGCAAAUCUUUUGCUGUCAAUUGCAUCAACUUGAUCCAAUGGUCAAGCUAGGCCAGCAGCUACACGCAAGGCAGGGAGCCUAAUGGUUAAUGGUAGGUUACCGAACACUGAUUAUUACUGAACAAUAAGAUCCCAACGUGCGUAUGCUAUGAGGCAACAUAGUGGAUGGUUCUAAAGUGCUACCAGCCAAUAGAUUCUCGGCACCAUUGAUGGCUCUCAUCACUUGCUUAGAAAUUAUUGGAGCCCUAGCGCAUAUUGGGCCUUUCCUCUCUCUAAUCUUUCCAUGCCAAAUGUCCCAAAUGUACUACUCCAGUACUCUAUUGUUUCAUAGCAUAUGCAUUCUCUGGGCACUGUUCUGUCAAGAUCGAAGCAGUAACUGUUCUUAUCCUGAAAAACACCGAGUGAUCUUGCAUAAUGCUGUGGACGCGUCAACCCAUCGCAGGUUAUACCCACAAGUGUGUGUAUCCGAGCUGACCAAGAAGAGAUUUGUAGGAAGGAGGUGACUACCAGUUCAUUCCAACAAACCUAAAAUAAACAAGGUUCAGCAAUUAUUUCACCAGUUGCAUAUCUUGCAUCUAGUUCGACAAAUGUGAUCGAUAGAGCCCACAGAUAUAUAGUUACUCCUCCAUCCCAAAAUAUAUCUGUCUUUAACUAUAAAUCUGUAUCGGCACUGGCACGAGACUUUGCCAAUACAAAUGGCUGGUUGAACAAAAAGGAAAAAGAAUGCAAUUGUUAAUUUUGUUUGGCAUCCCCAAAACACAACUACUCCUAGCUAGGUAGAUAUCGAAACCUGAAGCAAAAUACAAAUACCCAAAGAGCAGGAAAGUUCAGAUAUGGAACCAGGGGAAAAGAGGCUACAAUGAAGAACUCAAGGUCGUAGCUUCACCUGGCUUUUUGCAUUGCAGCUGUAACAAAAUUAAACUAAACGAAGAGAAACAAACAAAUCGUAAAGAACAAAGGGUUCCUUUUUCUUACUAUGAUGUUCCUCUCGAGCACUUUCGCUCAGCUUGAGAACUUUUUCUGUUGGCUUUUCUUUUUUGAUUGUCUGGGCCCACCAAUGUGGCACUACUAUAUCUUCCAGAUUGGGUGGCGGAGAGUGGUUUGGAAUGUGGACGCAAUUGUGGGUCAGGACUCAGGAGGUGACAGUUCCUUCACAAUUUAUAAAAGAUAGAGGAAGAAGAAGAUGAGCAGUGGAACAAGGAUAGAGACGUACGUAAAGUCAAAAUGCGUCCAGGUUCGAUGAAUCUAGUGUAGGCGGUGCAGAGAGUCUAAAGAAGAGGAUCAUCACAACUAAACAGCUGCCCGUCACGUUGACUUAUAUGGAUAUUUUAGAGGGAUGAUGCAUGCUAUACUCGAAUGGACUUUAAUGCUUGAUUAUCUGACAGAGACGAAUGGAUUUUUCUAAUGAAAAUAGAUUUAUAUAUUAAUCAGAUGAGAGGAUUGUAUUCUCGAGUAAUAAAAUGUUCAAUUCGAAACGCAAACGAAGCUUGUGAUAUCCACACCAACCCGUGCUCCAUGUGCUUACUGCUUAAUUAGCAAGCUAUGCUACCUUUGUGAUCUACAUUUUGCUCUCCAUAAGAAGUUGAUAAGCAACAUCUCCAUGCACUCUACAAUGAGAUCGAUCUUGGGAAGAAUACUAUGAGGUUGGGAACUUCACCAUCCGCGGAUCAAGGAAGCAAAAUCAGAUUUGAAGGUAAUGAUCCACUCCGCUGCUAGGGGAAGAAGCCCCAUUACAAAGGUAUUCUGAUGAAAUUAUUGGCCUAAUAUAUGCGACAUGAUUGAGCCUGCUGUAACUUAAUCUAAUUAACAAGUAGCUCAGUUUGGAUAAUCGUGAUCAGCAUCACAGCAUGUGAAUUGAUUGGUUAUACUGUUCCAUUAUCUAAAACAAUAUGGGUUGAUUGGAGUGAUAAGUAUGCAUCGUCCGAGGUGUACGCAAGCUUCAGGUUUUUUUGUUUUGUUUUAAGUUUUUGAGAAUACGCUACGCAAUCUUCAGUUGGGAUAUAUAGGUUGUCGAUCGUUGCAAACUUAUUCCUCCAGUAAUUGAACUACACGUGGUUUUCCGCACGCACGCUUCCCAAACUACUAAGCAGUGCGUUUUUUGUAAAAAAAAUUUCUAUAGAAAAGUUGCUUUAAAAAUCAUAUU